UUUCGAGGUGGGAGUCUACUGAGGUGAGGUAUGGUGCUGGGUGCAGAUGCAAUGUGGCUCUGGAUAGCACCUUAUGGACAGUUGUGUCCCAAAGGAAGGAUGAGAAUAGCUACUGAAGUCCUAAAGAGCAAGCCUAACUCAAGCCAUUGGCACACCGGCAUUAGACAGAAAACUGGAAGUUGAAAUGGUGGAGUCCAACUUGUCUGGACCAGCUUAAUGGUUCUGCUCCUGGUAACGUUUUUAUCCACGGAUGGCUUGCUUGGGUAAGGACGUGAAGACAGUUCCUGUCAUACCUUUUUUAAAGGUAUGGAGAGUCGGCUUGACUACACUGUGUGGAGCAAGUUUUAAAGAAGCAAAGGACUCAGAAUUCAUGCUUGAAGAAAUGCAGGUUAGUUUAAACUUUUAAGGAAAUUUUUAAGGUGGCAAAAGGUUUUGGUGACAUAUACACCUUAAUCUGUAGAUGGGAGUGAUUAGCUGUUUAAAAGUUAAAAUGUGACUGAGAAGGAAAUUGAGUAGGGCAAAUUUUAAAUGGGUAUUAUUUUUCAUCUUCAAACAGGCAGACCUGUUAUCCUAAACUAGGUGAGUCAGCUUUUGGUACAUGUGAUGAUUUUCAACGUAACCAAUGAUGUAAUGAUUCUGCCAAAUGAAAUAUAAUGAUAUCACUAUAAAACCGUUCCAUUUUGAUUCUGAGGUUACUCUACUAACAAGCAUCACACAUUUGCUUUUUGCCAUGAUUAAUAUGUUGGCUUUGCUUUCAGGGUUUUUAAUGACCACGACAAGCAAGCAUGCAGCUUACUGCUUGAAAGGGUCUUGCCUCACCCAAGCUGGAGUGCAGUGGCCUCUGAAGCUUACUACAGCCUCAAACUUCUGGGCUCAAGUGAUCCUCAGCCUCCCAAUGGUCUUUGUAGACUGCCUGAUGGAGUCUCAUGGCACAAGAAGAUUAAAACAAUGCUCCAAUUUUAAUAAAUUUUUGCAAUCCA
rnacentral:sRNA from 1 species